UUUAUGGAGAGUUUGAUCCUGGCUCAGGAUGAACGCUGGCGGCGUGCCUAAUACAUGCAAGUCGAGCGAACAGAUAAGGAGCUUGCUCCUUUGACGUUAGCGGCGGACGGGUGAGUAACACGUGGGUAACCUACCUAUAAGACUGGAAUAACUCCGGGAAACCGGGGCUAAUGCCGGAUAACAUGUUGAACCGCAUGGUUCUACAGUGAAAGACGGUCUUGCUGUCACUUAUAGAUGGACCCGCGCCGUAUUAGCUAGUUGGUGGGGUAACGGCCUACCAAGGCGACGAUACGUAGCCGACCUGAGAGGGUGAUCGGCCACACUGGAACUGAGACACGGUCCAGACUCCUACGGGAGGCAGCAGUAGGGAAUCUUCCGCAAUGGGCGAAAGCCUGACGGAGCAACGCCGCGUGAGUGAUGAAGGUCUUCGGAUCGUAAAGCUCUGUUGUUAGGGAAGAACAAAUGUGUAAGUAACUGUGCACAUCUUGACGGUACCUAACCAGAAAGCCACGGCUAACUACGUGCCAGCAGCCGCGGUAAUACGUAGGUGGCAAGCGUUAUCCGGAAUUAUUGGGCGUAAAGCGCGCGUAGGCGGUUUUUUAAGUCUGAUGUGAAAGCCCACGGCUCAACCGUGGAGGGUCAUUGGAAACUGGAAAACUUGAGUGCAGAAGAGGAAAGUGGAAUUCCAUGUGUAGCGGUGAAAUGCGCAGAGAUAUGGAGGAACACCAGUGGCGAAGGCGGCUUUCUGGUCUGCAACUGACGCUGAUGUGCGAAAGCGUGGGGAUCAAACAGGAUUAGAUACCCUGGUAGUCCACGCCGUAAACGA
rnacentral:rRNA from 1 species